rnacentral:rRNA from 1 species
UACGAAGGGGGCUAGCGUUGUUCGGAAUUACUGGGCGUAAAGCGCGUGUAGGCGGGUCUUUAAGUCAGGGGGGAAAUGCCAAGGCUCAACCUUGGAACUGCCUUUGAUACUGGAGACCUUGAGUCCGGGAGAGGUGAGUGGAAUUGCGAGUGUAGAGGUGAAAUUCGUAGAUAUUCGCAAGAACACCAGUGGCGAAGGCGGCUCACUGGCCCGGAACUGACGCUGAGAUGCGAAAGCGUGGGGAGCAAACAGG